UACGUAGGGCGCAAGCGUUGUCCGGAAUUAUUGGGCGUAAAGAGCUCGUAGGCGGUCUGUCGCGUCCGUUGUGAAAACUCGAGGCUCAACCUCGGGCUUGCAGUGGAUACGGGCAGACUAGAGUGCGGUAGGGGAGACUGGAAUUCCUGGUGUAGCGGUGGAAUGCGCAGAUAUCAGGAGGAACACCCGUGGCGAAGGCGGCUCUCUGGGACGGUACUGACGCUGAGACGCGAAAGCGUGGGGAGCGAACAGG
rnacentral:rRNA from 1 species